rnacentral:rRNA from 1 species
UGGGGAAUUUUGGACAAUGGGCGAAAGCCUGAUCCAGCAAUGCCGCGUGUGUGAAGAAGGCCUUCGGGUUGUAAAGCACUUUUGUCCGGAAAGAAAUCCUUGGCUCUAAUACAGUCGGGGGAUGACGGUACCGGAAGAAUAAGCACCGGCUAACUACGUGCCAGCAGCCGCGGUAAUACGUAGGGUGCAAGCGUUAAUCGGAAUUACUGGGCGUAAAGCGUGCGCAGGCGGUUUGCUAAGACCGAUGUGAAAUCCCCGGGCUCAACCUGGGAACUGCAUUGGUGACUGGCAGGCUAGAGUAUGGCAGAGGGGGGUAGAAUUCCACGUGUAGCAGUGAAAUGCGUAGAGAUGUGGAGGAAUACCGAUGGCGAAGGCAGCCCCCUGGGCCAAUACUGACGCUCAUGCACGAAAGCGUGGGGAGCAAACAGGAUUAGAUACCCUGGUAGUCCACGCCCUAAACGAUGU